UGUCUCCUCCAAUCUCCUCCUUAAGAAAUUGGAUUCAAGCCCGCACCUCUUGGUCGCGGGCUUUUUUUU
rfam:Herbaspirillum seropedicae SmR1, complete genome.